AUUGAGCGCUGGCGGCAGGCCUAACACAUGCAAGUCGAACGGUAACAGAAAGCAGCUUGCUGCUUUGCUGACGAGUGGCGGACGGGUGAGUAAUGUCUGGGAAACUGCCUGAUGGGGGGGGAUAACUACUGGAAACGGUAGCUAAUACCGCAUAACGUCGCAAGACCAAAGAGGGGGACCUUCGGGCCUCUUGCCAUCGGAUGUGCCCAGAUGGGAUUAGCUAGUAGGUGGGGUAACGGCUCACCUAGUCGACGAUCCCUAGCUGGUCUGAGAGGAUGACCAGCCACACUGGAACUGAGACACGGUCCAGACUCCUACGGGAGGCAGCAGUGGGGAAUAUUGCACAAUGGGCGCAAGCCUGAUGCAGCCAUGCCGCGUGUAUGAAGAAGGCCUUCGGGUUGUAAAGUACUUUCAGCGGGGAGGAAGGGAGUAAAGUUAAUACCUUUGCUCAUUGACGUUACCCGCAGAAGAAGCACCGGCUAACUCCGUG
rnacentral:rRNA from 1 species